rnacentral:rRNA from 2 species
GCAGUCGAGCGGACAGAUGGGAGCUUGCUCCCUGAAGUCAGCGGCGGACGGGUGAGUAACACGUGGGCAACCUGCCUGUAAGACUGGGAUAACUCCGGGAAACCGGGGCUAAUACCGGAUAAUUCUUUCCCUCACAUGAGGGAAAGCUGAAAGAUGGUUUCGGCUAUCACUUACAGAUGGGCCCGCGGCGCAUUAACUAGUUGGUGAGGUAACGGCUCACCAAGGCAACGAUGCGUAACCGACCUGAAAGGGUGAUCGGCCACACUGGGACUGAAACACGGCCCAAACUCCUACGGGAGGCAGCAGUAAGGAAUCUUCCGCAAUGGACGAAAGUCUGACGGAACAACGCCGCGUGAGUGAUGAAGGUUUUCGGAUCGUAAAACUCUGUUGUUAGGGAAGAACAAGUACCGGAGUAACUGCCGGUACCUUGACGGUACCUAACCAGAAAGCCACGGCUAACUACGUGCCAGCAGCCGCGGUAAUACGUAAGUGGCAAGCGUUGUCCGGAAUUAUUGGGCGUAAAGCGCGCGCAGGCGGUUCCUUAAAUCUGAUGUGAAAGCCCCCGGCUCAACCGGGGAGGGUCAUUGGAAACUGGGGAACUUGAGUGCACAAGAGAAGAGUGGAAUUCCACGUGUAGCGGUGAAAUGCGUAGAGAUGUGGAGGAACACCAGUGGCGAAGGCGACUCUUUGGUCUGUAACUGACGCUGAGGCGCGAAAGCGUGGGGAGCAAACAGGAUUAUAUACCCUGGUAGUCCACGCCGUAAACGAUGAGUGCUAAGUGUUAU